GAGAAAUGGAGGGAAGUGAGACAUGACUAAGAUGUAGGUAAAAAGGAAUAAAGGUGUUUCCUGCUCAAAUCUCUCUUGAAGAAAUUAAUGGAGAAGGAAAGCACAAAGCAUGCUUGAAAGAAAGCAAAGCUGUUUGAAUUUCCCUUGGGAAAAGAUGCAAUGCAGACUGGCUUUGAAACUUGGACUCCUUGGCCAAAACAUGCAUAUUUGUUUCCUUUUAAUUUGUUCAAAUGUAUCAUCAACACAACCAGAAUCCCUGUGCAGUUGGUACUGGACUAGUUAAUUAGCAAGUGUAAAUAAACAGUGAAAGGAGGAGGAUGACUGGAGUUUCACAACUGCUUUAAUACAAUUGAUUCCACUUAGAGAAGAUGACAUGUUGAAAUGUGAUGAGUAAAGAUGUGCAGAAUGCUUCCCCAGUAAUUGGAAUUCAAGCAACAAUAACACUGGGCAUUGUUGGAUCCUUUACAACUUUAAGAAAAAGGUCUCCUUCCUUCGCUUUGGAAAAAAGUGCACAUAUUAUAGAACAUCGUGACUUUAUUCAACAUUAAAAAGAGAAAUUAAAAAUUAUUUCACCUGAGUGCAUCUGCAUUUGAAUCAAGCAUAUGUUUAAGUUUAUGCAACUUCUAAUGCACAAUUUCUUCUUCCAACUUUCUAUUGCUAUAAAAUGGCAGGAUUUUAGAGCUGAAUGAGUAAUUUUGUGUCAAAUUCUCACUUUAGAAAUGAGGAGAUAAAGGCCUAGAUAAGUAAGGUAAUUUACCUAUAGAUACACAGUAAAUUGAUGGCAGAAAUGGAACCAAGCUAAGAACUCCUGAUUGUGCUUCUUGAAUAGCCCAAGAUGGGAGGGUCUGAGCAGUGGGAAAGAGACUGUCAGGGGCCAAGGACCAGUUAUCCUGGGGAAAUAUUAAGAAGAACUGAAUGAGAAUAACAGCUGGUAAAAGGCCAUUGGCUGUAGCAAACAGAUUACAGAUGAUGUCUAUAGUCAGGACUUUUUUGGUCAUGAGUGGUGGAAAACCAUCUAAAACUAGCUUGAGCUAAAGGAAAAAAUUACAUCCUCAUGUUACCAAGAAGUCUGGAUUUAGAAGUUAUUUCAAGUACACCUGCAGAGAGGUGCCCAAAUGACUAUCAAUCCUUUUUCUCGAGCUCUGUUUCUUCGCUUUCUGUGUUGGUCUUAUUCUUUCUUACGGGUAGCCUCUUCCAUGCAGUGAGAAAGAGGGCCACUUUGUAAUCUGUAUUUAUGUUCUCCCACUUUGGCAACCUCAGCUGAAAAAGAAGGCCUGCCUUUCAAUGUUCAAACAUUAAUUGUGGAGCAGAACAUUAAUU
rnacentral:lncRNA from 1 species